UUUUUCCCGACCGUUUCACCCAAUAGUUGGGGGUCUUACUUGGCGGCGGUGCUGGCUUUAUUGCUGGCGGCUACUGCUGGGCGAGCCCUAUCAAAAGGCGAGCGUUUGGACUUCGGUCUGAGCUAGUAGCUUUUUUAUUUUAAACCCUUUACUUAAUACUGAUUAUACUGUGGGGACGAAAGUCUCUGCUUUUAACUAGAUAGCAACUUUCAGCAGUGGAUGUCUAGGUCGCACAUCGAUGAAGAACGCUGCGAACUGCGAUACGUAAUGCGAAUUGCAGGAUUCAGUGAGUCAUCGAAAUUUUGAACGCAUAUUGCACUUCCGGGUUAGUCCUGGAAGUAUGCCUGUAUCAGUGUCCGUACAACAAACUUGGCUUUCUUCCUUCCGUGUAGUCGGUGGAGGAGAUGCCAGAUGUGAAGUGUCUUGCGGUUGGUUUUCGGACCGACUGCGAGUCCUUUUAAAUGUACUAAACUGUACUUCUCUUUGCUCCAAAAGUGGUGGCAUUGCUGGUUGUGGACGCUGCUAUUGUAGCGA
rnacentral:rRNA from 1 species